rnacentral:rRNA from 1 species
GACAGAGGGUGCAAACGUUGCUCGGAAUCAUUGGGCGUAAAGCGCACGUAGGCGGCCAACUAAGUCGGACGUGAAAUCCCCAGGCUCAACCUGGGAACUGCGUCCGAUACUGGAUGGCUUGAAUUCGGGAGAGGGAUGCAGAAUUCCAGGUGUAGCGGUGAAAUGCGUAGAUAUCUGGAGGAAUACCGGUGGCGAAGGCGGCAUCCUGGACCGACAUUGACGCUGAGGAGCGAAAGCUAGGGGAGCAAACGGGG